AACGAACGCUGGCGGCAGGCCUAAAACAUGCAAGUCGAACGAACCUUCGGGUUAGUGGCGCACGGGUGCGUGACGCGUGGGAAGAUGCCCUUCACUGCGGAACAACGUCGGUAAACUGACGCUAAUACAGCAAAAUGAAUCCGGUCCAAAGAUUUAUCGGUGAAGGAUUAGCCCGCGUCUGAUUAGUUAGUUGGUGAGGUAAUGGCUCACCAAGUCGACGAUCAGUAGCGGGUGUGAGAGGAUGGUCAGCCACACGGGAGACGGAGACCCGUCCCAGACUCCUACGGGAGCAAGCAGUUAGGAAUAUUGAACAAUGGGGGAAACCCUGAUCCAGCCAUGCCGCGUGUGUGAAGAAGGCCUUAGGGUUGUAAAGCACUUUCGUCUGUGAAGAUAAUGACAGUAGCAGAAGAAGAAGCUCCGGCUAAAUUCGUGCCAGCAGCCGCCGUAA
rnacentral:rRNA from 1 species